GUGCCAGCAGCCGCGGUAAUACGUAGGGUGCAAGCGUUAAUCGGAAUUACUGGGCGUAAAGCGUGCGCAGGCGGUGAUGUAAGACAGGUGUGAAAUCCCCGGGCUUAACCUGGGAACUGCAUUUGUGACUGCAUCGCUGGAGUGCGGCAGAGGGGGAUGGAAUUCCGCGUGUAGCAGUGAAAUGCGUAGAUAUGCGGAGGAACACCGAUGGCGAAGGCAAUCCCCUGGGCCUGCACUGACGCUCAUGCACGAAAGCGUGGGGAGCAAACAGGAUUAGAUACCCUGGUAGUCC
rnacentral:rRNA from 1 species